rnacentral:snRNA from 1 species
ACUCCCACACUUUCAUCUUCC